rnacentral:rRNA from 1 species
UGCCAGCCGCCGCGGUAAUACGUAGGAUGCAAGCGUUGUCCGGAAUCACUGGGCGUAAAGGGUCCGUAGGCGGUUUGUUAAGUCUCCUGUGAAAGUUCAAGGCUCAACCUUGAAAUGUCGGGGGAUACUGGCAAACUUGAGACUGUCAGAGGCAAGUAGAAUUCCCGGUGUAGUGGUGAAAUGCGUAGAUAUCGGGAGGAAUACCAGUGGCGAAAGCGGCUUGCUGGGACAGUUCUGACGCUGAGGGACGAAAGCGUGGGUAGCAAACCGGAUUAGAUA